CCACCCCUGCCCCUCGAGGACAUGACCUUACUCUACCAUCUCCCGCCGCGGCCACUAUCCCCAACCGAUUACGGAAAACAGUGAUGCACCCACGUACUACAGCGAAAUACGCAAAAGGAUGCAAGCUAGGAAUCGACAAAGUAAACCACACACAGGGUGCUUAGAUAGAAAACGUAAAAGGGUAUACCGAGUAAAAAAA
rnacentral:lncRNA from 1 species